GGGGGUGUACUGGAUUCGACUGAUGUUGGAUCUUGUAUUCCGCAGGUCUGAGUGGGUUGGCUCAGUAAAAAAACCCAUUGUUUACAGACGGCAAUUCUAAUCGUUUGAAGAGCUUCGCCUAUGAGGGCGAGCUCGCCUUAGCAGCUUAACCUGCUAACCUCUUGCCUUUUGACGCAGAUAAAGGGGACAAGGGGUCAUUGAUCUGCAAAACAGAAAAGGUUUACCUAUUAAUAAACUGUAGUUCACUGAUUAUUCGGGGGCAAAUAAUUGUAAUAGGGAGUUCGAUGUUGGUAUCAAUAACUAUAAAAGAAAUCAACUAAACCUGUAGACGAUACAAAUGAAUUCAUCAACACGCGGGUUCGACUCCCGCCACCUCCACCA
rnacentral:tmRNA from 1 species